rnacentral:misc_RNA from 1 species
GGGACUUUCAUUUCUCUCCAUUUCCCUCCUAGCUAUUCAGAGUGUAAAUUCAAUUCCAAUAGCCUAUAUGUUCCAGAAUAUUGGCAAGAUUAAAAAAAGACCAGAAUAUGAAUGGAAAAGCAUACCCAAAUGACAAUAUUGAAAUACAAGUACUAGCAGAAACAUAACAAUAACAGUAGAAGCACUUCAAUACAUGCCGUAUCAUAUUGUUAUGCUCCAGCCUUCAGGUGCACAUGGCCUAAAUAAAACCUUAAAAACAAGAACAUAGAGAUUAAAAAAAUCAGUCCAAAGUAAAAGAAACAAAGAAGGGGAAAUUGUUUUGAUGAAGAAGAUACAUGAAUUUAUCAUCAAAAUACAUCUGAAUGUUAAAGAAAUGAAAUUAAUUUUUUUGGCCACACAAUUUAACCCUAUAGGUUAUCUUGGAUUCCAACUAGCAGCCCCUUCAGAAAAUAUAGCCCAGAAAAUUAAAUACAUAACAAAGGGGUUUUCCCUAACUAUAGCAGAUCUAAGAAUUUUAAACAUAACAGUACAUAGCAUUUAAAUGCAUUUAACUAUAAUAAAUUGGCAAAAUGUUUACAGAUGUCAUUUCUGACAGCCAGGAUGGUUGCUACAUCAUCAUGAGCUCGAGCAGAAAUUAUAAAAAGUAACUUUCCUCUAGGUGAUUUUGCUUUAGGAAAGUUCCUUGGACUGAGCAUCCUUGCUUAUGCAACCAAGGAAAAACUUUCUUAGACUUAGUCUAUUAUGAACCCAAAACACAAAAAUUUGAGUGCCACCAUACAUGAUGUGUCUUGGAUUCAUGAUGCACUGAGUCUAAGCAAGAAUUUCCCAAGUAAGAAAUACGUUUUUGGAUGUUUCUAAAUAUUCAGAAGCACAUCUGCAAAGCUCUGGGGAGAUGCUAUAACCUGAUAAGAAGCAAAACACAGAAGCCAAAAAGAAAAGCAUGCUGCUGCAAAGAACAAAGAGGUGAAAUGCCUAUCUUAAAGAUGCAGGCAAUCUAGUAGUGAAGCACACUGCAUACCUGAACCCAUUCUUGAGAUAUUCCAGGUCUCCCUUGGCCACCAUCUACCUCAGAUUCCUUUGCUAGUCCUUACUUUUUGCCUCCAUAUGAGAAUCUCAAAAGUUCUUUGUUCAUAGUCACGCUUCAUACCUCUGGCAAGUAUUUCUUUACCUUCCUCUAUAAGACAGGGACGUGUUGUACCAGUUCUGACUGAAUAAUACAUACUGACACUAUGAACUCUACCAAAGAGUAGCCAACUAACUGUCUAACUAAAGGUGCAGCUCACAACCAUCUACCCCAGAAAUUAUUCAUUGCAUUUGUAACAUAAAUGCCAUCAAUCGAAGAGAAAAUAAGUAGAAAAUAAAAAAAUUUGGAGAACAGACUGUUGAUGCAGAUCUUGAAAACUGAACAGAUCCUGAAAAGCUUCCUGUAGCAGUUGUCACAGGACUAGUACUAGCUACAUUCUUGCAAGAUCCAAAAGGCGCUCCUGCCUGGCAGGCUGUCACAGUACUACAACCACACAACGUCUGGCCAUUCAUCCUGUCCAAAACAUCAAAAACUCCGCCACCAUCACUUCUCAUGUAAAAGUUGACUGCUAAAAAAUUGGGCAUCACAUUCCCUGCUGCUUUAUAACAGGUGCCAACCAUCUGAGCAAGUGGAGUUGAAUGCUCUUUGCAGGCUUCACUCUCAACUGGAUAUGUUGGGAAGUAAUUCUCUAGGAAAAGAGAUGCACUUCUGGAAUUCAGUGGCUUUGACUCUUUUCUAUUUGGGCAUGAGCCUGGCUUCACCCCAGGAUCGCCAGUUUCCAAUAUGUACUUCCACUGAUAAGCAAUGCCUUCCUCUGCUUCCUUUGAAGCAAUUGUAGUGAAAACCAGAAGCCGGCAAUUCUCUUGCACCAUCUGAGUCACAGUGGGCCAAUCUUCACCCUUUUUGGGCAUCUUGGAGACAGGAAACCAAUAUUUAUAUAAACCAGCAUUAGUGAACAGCUUUGUUAACCCUUUUGGGGUAUGCACAUAGUCCUCAAUUAUAAUGGUCACAAUCUCAGUUGGAUUUUCACUCAAGAAUGCUUCUACUUCCCUCAAGGUGUUAAUUGCUGGUCCAAAGGCUGUGAAGUUGAAACAUUGCCCUCGAAAAGAAUGGCAGAGCCAGAUAUCAUCCUCAAAAUCAUACAUAUCCAGCAUCAGUCCCCUUACGCCAUUCCUCAACUGAUUAGUCACAGUAUCUUCUUGAUUAUAAAAUGUCAGUCUUUGAACACCCGGCAAAAGCGGUGCAUCCAGGAUGCUAAACGCAUUAUGAGUCACUAACCAUGUAUACUUGUUAAAAGGCAACGCAUCAAUAAUAGAGGUGGGAAUGAUAGCUUGGCCUCUGGUGCAGACGGGUUGAUUCUUGCCCAAAGCAGGGCAGUUUCCACAGAAAAGCCCUGGCCCACAAUUUUUAGCUGCUAUGCACAAGUCCAGCACCUGUGCAUGUGCUAUGAAGGCUAACGAGAUCAGUAGCAGAUAGAGGCACAGGUACCCAACAGCGAGAGGGCCUCCGCGUAACCUACAGUGGUCCGCGAAGCACGCAAACAUGGCCACUGCUUAUGCAGGGCUCGAGAGAGAGAGAGAGAGGUGCAAAGCGAAAGAGAAGUUUUACUGUGCAAUGAAGGUGACGAGUGGUUUUUUGGGUAUUAAUUAUUGAAGGGCGG